GCAGAAGAAUCGGCAAGUGUCGGGAGGCUCUACACCUCUAAGGGUGAACACGGGUUAAUGUACUAGCUCCGACACUUUUGAUGCUCUUCCACGUGCUGGCACACAAGAUGUCACACACUUCGGGGUUUCUGAGAACUGUGGUUUGUUUCAUCAGAGAUCUGGGACCUUAGACAGAAAAGGACUGAUGGGCAGGUCCACUUGGAUUCACAAAUCAGUAUCACCUGAGUAAGGACUGUCACCUGAAGAAUUGUCCCAAUUGACUUAAUUGAUGUGUGAAGACCAACCCCGAAUGUGGGAAGCCGCUUGAGGUAGCAGCCAGGAUAGAAGUGUGGGCUGCCAAGCUGAUUUACCCUGCUGUUACCAUCUCUUCACUGACAUCAGAACCAGUGUUUCCCCACUUCCACCAUUGUCUAAAACACAGCAGCUCUCCAGGAACCUUCCAGGUUUUCAUCACCAGAUUGGAACUUCUGUAGCACCCAGCCUUGAGGACCAGACAACUACCUGUUCUCAGCCUCUCUGGUGUAAGGCAACCAUUGCUACUAUUUUUAUGUAAGCUGGUUUAAUAAAUAAUGUAUAUAUAACA